GACGAACGCUGGCGGCGUGCUUAACACAUGCAAGUGGAGCGACGAACCAGGCUUCGGCCUGGGGCAAAGCCGCGAACGGGUGAGUAACACGUGGGUAACCUGCCCUGAUGACUGGGACAACCCGGGGAAACUCGGGCUAAUACCAGAUGUGGUCACUCCACACGAGUGGAAUGACUAAAGGUAGCUUCGGCCUCCGCAUCAGGAUGGGCCCGCGGCGCAUUAGCUUGUUGGUGGGGAAUGGCCUACCAAGGCGACGAUGCGUAGCUGGUCUGAGAGGACGAUCAGCCAGACUGGGACUGAGACACGGCCCAGACUCCUACGGGAGGCAGCAGUUAGGAAUUUUGGGCAAUGGGCGCAAGCCUGACCCAGCAACGCCGCGUGGGUGACGAAGGCCUGG
rnacentral:rRNA from 1 species